rnacentral:tRNA from 1 species
GUCCCGGUAGCUCAGUUGGUAGAGCAUACGGCUGUUAACCGUAGAGUCGGAGGUUCGAGUCCUUCCCGGGACG